GAUGAACGCUAGCGGCAGGCUUAACACAUGCAAGUCGAGGGGAAACGACAUCGAAAGCUUGCUUUUGUUGGGCGUCGACCGGCGCACGGGCGAGUAACGCGUAUCCAACCUGCCCACCACUUGGGAAUAACCUUUCGAAACUAAGACUAAUACACAAUGAUAUCUGUAGAAGGCAUCUGAAAGAUAUGCAAGAUUUAUCGGUGAUGGAUGGGGUUGCGUCUGAUUAUCUGGUUGGCGGAGGAACGGCACACCAAGGAUCCGAUCAGUAGGGGUGCUGAGAGGAAGGUCCCCCGCAACGGAGCCGAGACACAGACUAAACUCCUACGGGAGGGAGCGGUGUGGUGGAUUGGUCAAUGGAGGAGAGUCUGAACCAGCCGCGUGGCGUGCGGGAACACGGCGCUAGUGGUUGUAUACUGCUUGUAUAGGGGAAGAAUGUGAGUAUCGUGAGACUUAUUGACGGUACCUGAUGAAUAAGCACCGGCUAAUUCCGUG
rnacentral:rRNA from 1 species